ensembl:rRNA 5S_rRNA 5S ribosomal RNA
GUCUGUGGCCAUUCACCCUGAAUGCACCUGAACUCUUCUGAUCUCAGAAGCUAAGCAGGGUCAGGCCUGGUUAGUAUUUGGAUGGUAGUAACAGAUAGGCUCUUAGAGAUC